rnacentral:lncRNA from 1 species
UGGGCACCCCUCAUCGCCCCAGUGAGUUGAUUCUAGGAGUCAGAGGAGAAACAAUGACCAUCAGGCGAAGAGUCUCACAAAGUCAAACGCAGGAUUUCCCUGAUACCCAUCAGGGCACUUUCCCAUAAGAGACAGCUGCGCUCAGGCUUACUCCAGGCUUUACUUUAAAACCUACUAGAAUAAUAGUAGGAAAAACAAGGAAGAAUGGGUGAAAGGAAACAGCCUAUUUAUUUCCUCAAAUCCUUUCAGCUUCGCUUCACCUUAGAGAACAAUGAGGCUUAUUAAAUAGGGCCAGCAGCAAUCUUGUGUAAUUGUUCAGCCAUCUUCUCUGUUGACUCCUCAGCCUAUUCUGCGACCCUCAAGUUACCCACAGCUUGGCUAAAAUAAAAGACUUCUUCUUGCAGGUUUCUCA